rnacentral:rRNA from 1 species
UAUUGGGCAAUGGAGGAAACUCUGACCCAGCAACGCCGCGUGAAUGAUGAAGGUCUUCGGAUUGUAAAGUUCUUUUCUAAGGGAAGAAGAAAGUGACGGUAGCUUAGGAAUAAGCCUCGGCUAACUACGUGCCAGCAGCCGCAGUAAUACGUAGGAGGCGAGCGUUAUCCGGAAUGACUGGGCGUAAAGGGUGCGUAGGUGGUUUGGCAAGUUAGUAGCGUAACUCCAAGGCUCAACCUUGGAACUACUACUAAAACUGUUGGACUUGAGUGCAGGAGGGGCAACCGGAAUUCCUAGUGCAGCGGUGGAAUGCGUAGAUAUUAGGAGGAACACCAGUGGCGAAGGCGGGUUACUAGACUGUAACUGACACUGAGGCACGAAAGCGUGGGGAGCAAACAGG